CUACCUUUAAAUCUUUUAAAAGUAGUGGAUUUAUGUGAAAUUGGGUUUCAAAAAUAAUUGCCGUACUUUUAUUUACCCUUGAAUCAAUCAAUUGCCUGCAGUUACAGUACAAAACUUGCACAUUAUUUACAAGUAUAAGAUUACAUCAUAGAAGCUGACAUUAUAUACCAGGUAACUACAAGACUGUUGUUGUAUCAGAUACGUGGAUAGUCUGAUCUGACUGAUUUAUAACUACCGGGUUUCCUGAAGCAUCCAGAUCAACUAUUGCAGUAUCACCAGGCUUAAAUCCUCCCGCAAGUAAGGCUUCGCUUAUGGGAUUUUCAAUUAUUUGAGUAACUGCUCUCCUAAGAGGUCGAGCUCCAUAAAUCUUGUCAUAGCCUUGUUGGCAUACAAGGUCCUUGAUAGACUCAGACACCUCCAAGCCAAUCCCAAGUGAUAUUAGCCUUUCUUUCACCUCUUGCAGCAUCAGAUUUAAAAUCUUGAGCAUCUGAGCCUUCUCAAGGGGAUGGAAUACCACUACUUCAUCUAUCCUGUUGAGUAACUCUGGGCGAAAAUACGCCUUGAGUUCUUCCAUUACCAAUGCUUUUAUUCCAGCAUAUGAAGUUGACUCAUCAUCUGCAAUCAAGAAACCGAUAGAGGUGCGUCCCCCCUUUGCAAUGGCAGUAGAGCCCACAUUUGAGGUCAUUACAACCAACGCAUUUUUAAAUGAUACUCUCCGUCCCUGAGAAUCUGUAAGGUGGCCAUCUUCAAACAACUGAAGGAGCAUAUUGAAUACAUCAGGAUGAGCUUUCUCUAUUUCAUCAAGUAAAACCAGCGUGAAAGGUUGUCUUCUAAUAGCUUCUGUAAGAGUGCCUCCUUCACCAUAACCAACAUAACCUGGGGGUGAUCCUAUUAAUUUGCUCACGGUGUGUCGUUCCAUAUAUUCACUCAUGUCCAGUCUCAGCAUUGCAGACUCCGAACCAAAAUAGCAUGCUGCCAAAGCUUUUGCUAGUUCAGUCUUGCCAACCCCAGUUGGGCCACAAAACAUCAUUGCUGCUAUGGGCCUGUCAGGAUCUUUCAAGCCAACUCGAGACCUUUUAACUGCUCUAGAUAUUGCAGCAACAGCCUCAUCUUGACCAAUGACCCGUUUUCUGAGCUGAUCAUCUAGACUUACCAAAAACAUUCUUUCAUCAGCAGUGAGCUGCUGAACUGGGAUUCCUGACCAAAGUGAAGCCACUGCAGCUAUAUCAUCUGGGCCCACCACUAUUGGCUCAUCAUCAUCAUCUGAUGUAACAGGUACAUGGGCCUCCAAAAUGAUUUCACCAGAGUCCUUUGUGUUGGAAGUACUGCCAUCAUUUUUUACCUUACUUGCCAGAACCACUUCAUGCAUGGCCUGAACAGUUCUAAUUUCUUGCCAAUAGUCAUCAGGUGACUUCGAAAGGAUACAGGUCUGUUGUUCUUUUUUCUUCCUAUGGGCCUCAAUUCGUGCUCUGCUUCCUGCCUCAUCAAUAAGAUCAAUAGCUUUAUCCGGAAGAUAUCUAUCAGCAAUAUAUCUUGCUGACAGAUAGACAGCAGCAUUUAUGGCUUCAGGUGUGAAAAUGCAGUUGUGAUGGGCCUCAUAUUUCUGACGAAGACCUAACAGUAUUUUAACAGCAUCCUCCUGGUUUGGUUCAUUUAUUGACACAGGCUGGAAUCUUCGAGCUAAUGCUUUAUCACUUUCAAAAUGUGUCCUGUAUUCAUCUAUCGUAGUGGAUGCCAUGCACUGUAAUUCACCCCUCCCAAGUGAUGGCUUCAGUAAAUUAGCAAUGUCAAGUCCAGAUCCCUUGUUUCCCCGUCCAACUGUGCCAGUCCCAACAAGUGUAUGAACUUCAUCAAUAAAAAGAAUGAUAUUACCUUCUUUCAGUAUCUCUCCUAUUAGUGCAGUAACACGUGCCUCUAAUUCUCCCCUUUCCUUUGCACCAGCAAUUAAUAGUCCCAUAUCCAAAGACAUUACACGUUUUGCUAAGAGAAAAACAGGAACAUUGGCCUGUGCAAUACUAAUUGCUAGUCCUUCGGCAAUGGCUGUUUUUCCAACCCCACUUUGACCAAGAAGAAUAGGAUUGUUUUUGGUUCUGCGGCAAAGUAUCUGAAUAAUUCUUUCAAUUUCAGUCUCUCGGCCAAUAACAGGGUCGAUGAGUCCUUCACUGGCACGAGCAGUAAGAUCCACACAGAAUUGAGUCAGAGCACUUUUCUCUCUCGUUUUCUCAGAGGAUCUUAAUGCAGCAGCUUUCUUAGAAAAGGAUUUUUCACGUGAUCCUUUGGAUUCCACAGAUAAUUCUCUUCCAUCUUUAGCAAGCUCACCCUGAAGUC
rnacentral:misc_RNA from 1 species